rnacentral:rRNA from 1 species
AGACGUCUACAUUAGAUACCCCUGUAGUCCCAGCCGUAAACAAUGUGCGUUAGGUGUGUCGGUAACCACGUGUUACUGAUGCGCCGAAGAGAAAUCGUGAAACGCACCACCUGGGAAGUACGGUCGCAAGGCUGAAACUUAAAGGAAUUGGCGGGGAGCACCACAACGGGUGGAGCCUGCGGUUUAAUUGGACUCAACGCCGGGAAGCUCACCGGAUAAGACAGCGGAAUGAUUGCCGGGCUGAAGACUCUGCAUGACUAGCUG